GACGAACGCUGGCGGCGUGCCUAAUACAUGCAAGUUGAGCGCUGAAGGUUGGUACUUGUACCAACUGGAUGAGCAGCGAACGGGUGAGUAACGCGUGGGGAAUCUGCCUUUGAGCGGGGGACAACAUUUGGAAACGAAUGCUAAUACCGCAUAAAAACUUUAAACACAAGUUUUAAGUUUGAAAGAUGCAAUUGCAUCACUCAAAGAUGAUCCCGCGUUGUAUUAGCUAGUUGGUGAGGUAAAGGCUCACCAAGGCGAUGAUACAUAGCCGACCUGAGAGGGUGAUCGGCCACAUUGGGACUGAGACACGGCCCAAACUCCUACGGGAGGCAGCAGUAGGGAAUCUUCGGCCAUGGACGAGAGUCUGACCGAGCAACGCCGCGUGAGUGAAGAAGGUUUUCGGAUCGUAAAACUCUGUUGGUAGAGAAGAACGUUGGUGAGAGUGGAAAGCUCAUCAAGUGACGGUAACUACCCAGAAAGGGACGGCUAACUACGUG
rnacentral:rRNA from 1 species